rnacentral:rRNA from 1 species
UCAAGCUAUAAAGAGCGCAAGGGGAAUGCCUUGGCAUCAGGAGCCGACGAAGGACGUGACAAGCUGCGAUAAGCUUCGGGGAGGAGCAAAUAUCCUAUGAUCCGGAGAUUUCCGAAUGGGGAAACCCACUGGAGCAAUACUCCAGUAACGUGCAUUGAAUCAAAUAGGUGUACGUGGGGAACCGCCUGAACUGAAACAUCUAAGUAGGGCGAGGAAAAGACAUCAACCGAGAUUCCGCUAGUAGUGGCGAGCGAACGCGGAGGAGGCCAAACCGGAGGAUUUAUUCUCCGGGGUUCGGACUUGCAUCAAGAUCAGAGGAGCCUAAAAGAACGGCAUGGGAAGGCCGGCCACAGAGGGUGAGAGCCCCGUAUUUGAAAGGUGAAACUGACAGCGAGUAUCCAGAGUACCGCGGGACACGAGGAACCCCGUGGGAAAACGGGUGGACCACCAUCCAAGCCUAAAUACUACCUGAUGACCGAUAGAGGAGCAGUACCGUGAGGGAAAGGUGAAAAGGACCCCGGGAGGGGAGUGAAAGAGAACCUGAAACCUUGUGCUUACAAGCACUCAAAGCACGUUAAAGUGUGAUGAGGUACUUUUUGUAGAACGGUCCGGCGAGUUAUAGUAACGAGCAAGCUUAAGGUAUUCAGUACCGGAGGCGAAGCGAGAGCGAGUCUGAAUAGGGCGUAAAAAGUUCGUUGCCAUAGACCCGAAACCGGGUGACCUAACCAUGAGCAGGCUGAAGUGAGAGUAAAAUCUCAUGGAGGGCCGAACGCACGUUCGUUGCAAUGACCGGCGAUGACUUGUGGUUAGCGGAGAAAUUCCAAUCGAACUCGGAGAUAGCUGGUUCUCCCCGAAAUAGCUUUAGGGCUAGCCUCAAGUAGUAAGUAUAGGCGGUAGAGCACUGAUCGGGCUAGGGGCCAUAAAGGUUACCGAACCCUGUCAAACUCCGAAUGGUUAUACUGUAGAGCUUGGGAGUCAGACUACGAGUGAUAAGAUCCGUGGUCAAAAGGGAAACAGCCCAGACCACCAGCUAAGGUCCCCAAUGUCGUACUAAGUGGAAAAGGAUGUGGGGUCUCUAAAACAACCAGGAUGUUGGCUUAGAAGCAGCCACCAUUUAAAGAGUGCGUAAUAGCUCACUGGUCGAGAGACCCUGCGCCGAAGAUUACCGGGGCUAAAGUACGAAACCGAAGCUGUGGCUACGACGUAAGUCGUGGGGUAGGGGAGCGUUCUGUGAGGGCUGAAGUCGUUCUGUAAGGAACGGUGGACUUCACAGAAGUGAGAAUGUUGGUAUGAGUAGCGAAAAGAAUGGUGAGAAUCCAUUCCACCGAAAGCAUAAGGAUUCCUGGGCAACGAUCGUCGUCCCAGGGUAAGUCGGGACCUAAUCCGAGGCAUGGAGCGUAGGAGAUGGACAACUGGCAGAUAUUCCAGUACCGGUAAUGAUUGUUUGAGCGAUGGAGUGACACAGGAGGGCAGGCAGGCAGGAGAUUGGUUGUUCCUGUACAAGCGUGUAGGAUGGGUUGUAGGCAAAUCCGCAACCUGUGAGUCUGAGGCGUGAUGUGGAGGUUCCGGAAACGGAACUGAAGCUGCUGACCCCACACUGUCGAGAAAAGCUUCUAGUUAGAGAAUUGCCGCCCGUACCGUAAACCGACACAGGUAUGCGGGGAGAGAAUCCUAAGGUGCGCGGGAGAACCCUCGUUAAGGAACUCGGCAAAAUGUACCCGUAACUUCGGGAUAAGGGUAGCCGCUGUUGUGAAGUCUGCACAGACGGAGCAUGAGGCGGUCGCAGAGAAGAGGCCCAAGCGACUGUUUACCACAAACACAGGUGCCUGCUAAAGAGAAAUCUGACGUAUAGGUGCUGACACCUGCCCAGUGCCGGAAGGUUAAGGAAGGAUGUCCGGAGCAAUCCAAAGCAUUCGACCGAAGCCCCGGUGAACGGCGGCCGUAACUAUAACGGUCCUAAGGUAGCGAAAUUCCUUGUCGGGUAAG